AUGGAUGGAUGGAUGGGUCGUGCGUAUAUACCUGUCCUCCUCUCCCUGCCGUCGUCGUCGACGUCGCCCUCGCUGCGCGGGAGGUAGGCCUGGCGGCCGCCGUCGACUUCCAUGGCUCCGCGCCUCUCCCUUGCCGCCGCCUCCCUCCGCGUCGAUCUCCUCCUCGGCCUCGGUCCUGGCCUCUCUCUUUCUCUCUCUCUCUCUNN
rnacentral:lncRNA from 1 species